CAAACACUUUGACAACUUAUAAGCUCUUAAGAAAUUACAUCUUAUAAGCGCCUAGAGCUUAAUUAUAAGCUCUUUAAAAUAAGCUUAGCCAAACAUCCUCUUAGUCGAGGCUACGACCGGGCUUCGACUCGCAAUAUUGGUCUCAAUAUAUGAACGGCAUCUUCACAUUAACACGUUAUUGUCUACUUUGAUUUUUGAUUUUUUUUUUCUCUCGGAAAAGUCUACUUUGAUUUUUUUAGUCUCUUGUUUUUAAUCUAAUCACUACAAGAAUUAAGGCCAUAGACAACAUAAAAUAGACAACAUAUAUCAAAAACUGUCAUCUAUAUCUCAAUAGAUGACACGCAGUAGAUAGUGCGUUGUCUAUAAGCAUGAAAUUAGAUGACAUUUAACCAAGCGCGUUGUCUAAUAGAGGUAUAGAUGAUGGAUUUCCGAGCCUCGUCGUCUAUAGAAGGGCAGUCAUAGACGACAUACACACCCAAAAAUGUCGUCUAUUGUAUAAUAGAAGACAUAAUUUAUCACACGUCGUCUAUUAGCGCCUAAAUUCAUCCCCAACACGUCUUCUCCCAAAAAAAUCAGAUUUCAUUCCCCCAAAACACACGCUGCUCCCAAAAUCAAAUUCCGCCACCAAACUCGAAUAUUCACAACAGCUCUUCGGCGGCAGCACCACCGUCUUCCUGCCACCGAACUCAAACGCCACCAUGGGGAUACUCGCCUUCGACAACGAGGAUAAGUUGUAGCACUCCCCACGCCAGUUCCUAAAUGCGUCCCGCACCACCACUCCCAUCGAUGGUCGUCGAUUCGAAGAUACAACAGCAAUUGCCAACCUCCACCUGAAAUAUGACGGACACGUCCCGCCAUCGCUGUCCCCGGCCUCUGAAAUCCGAUUCAGCCUCCAGGACUUGAUUUUUUGCUAAAUUAGGGCUCAAAUCUUCAAACUAAAAUUAGGCUCAAACUGUUUUUUCCUGCCGCCGCCGGAAUCCCGUGCCACGCCUCGCCAUCGAUUCGACAUUUUAGAGGUUUCUCCCCAUCCUCCUCCAAUUUCCAUCGAAUGCCAAAUUUCAAAGUGCUGAACUGAUUUUGCCCUAGCCGCUCAUAGACCCCCCUUCGCACUAGCCUCCCACCCACCUCCAGAGUUCAGAAUCUCUUCCUGUCGGCGCCGAAUUCCCGUGCCUCGCCUCACCGCCGAUUCCAUUCGAUUGGAGUUUAAUUUCAGAGAUAUCUCUCCAUUCUCCUCCAACCGCCGUCGAAGCGCAAGCACUCUGCCGUUGCUGUCGGAUCCCGUCACCAACGACGCUGCCAUCGCCCUCGGAUCCAGAUUGGUCAUGUGAAAGAUUGGGUUGUGUCAUCGCUACUGAUUUGGACAUGUGAAAGAUUAAGGUAUAUUCAAUUAUUCCUUGUUGAAGUUGUUGCUCUAUGGUCUUUAAUCUUUAACAAGAUUCCUCCGUAAUCAUGUUUGCAACUAAAAAUGGUGGCUUGAUUAGUAGCAAUUAAGUGUUGAAAUGGCAACCAUGGUUUCAUAGAUAAGCAUGUAUCUAGGUUAUUUUUUCACCAUGGUUCAAAUGGCAACCAUGGUUAUUUCAUAGAAAAGCAUUUAUCUAGGUUAUUUUUGCACCAUGGUUCAAGUGGCAGCCAUGGUUAUAUAAACACUGUGGAUAAGCAUGUAUCUAGGCAGUGAUAUGGAGAAUAGGUUGGGGAAUGGCUCGUUCCAUUCCAUUUGUUGCUGUGGUGAUGGCUUGGAGCCGAUUAUAGCGCUAUGUGUGUUUAACUGUUUGUGUAAGAAAUGGGCAGAAGGAAUCAUAAAAAUUUGUGAAAUUUAUAGGUUAUGCAAAAUGACAUUUUUUUCGAUCAACUAGUAUCUUUACUAUAUUAUUUGUGACAAAUGCUCCACAACAACCUGAUGGAUCGCAAUGUGGAUUCUAUGUUAUGCGAUUCAUGAGAGAUGUCUUUGACAAUCUUAUAUUUGAUCACUCUCUCCCAUUAGCUACAUUGGUAAUUAUAAUUUAGAAUUUUAAUCAAAUUUUAUUUCAAGGUUUCAUUUAUGAUGUAUUACUUGUUUGAUCACAAUUUUGUAUUUAUAAUUCACAAGAGGAUGUUAUUCCAAAAAAGAGAUUGAUGAAAUGAGGAUAGAGUGGGCAGGGUUUGUAAGUUCGAUUGAUGAUUGAUGAUGAUGGUGUAACUUUGACACUCAAGUAACCUCAUUUGUUUGUUUUGACUUACAUGUAUUAUGAUGAACAAUAUUUUAUUGGGUUUGAUGUAGAAUGUUUGUAUGAUGGAUACUUUUUCAAUGUAGGAUGAUAAAGAAUAUUUGAAAUUAAUGAAUGACCUUUUUAUUA